UAGAACCUUCUACUGGGUCUCUGGAAGCAAGCCUCGCUCAACCAAAAACACAGACUGCCCUUCAUGGUCCCACAUGGAGGUAUCUCAUGACCUGCACUGAGAUUUACAUGUAAUCAGCUCAGGUCCUCUGGGAGCAGCACUGUUCACUCAUGCGAGUUAUCAGGAAAAUGCAAAUUGAAGCUGCUUUGGUAUUCUAUCUCAUCCAAGUCAGAAUGGCUCACAUCAAAACAAAACCAAACGAAAGAGGACAGCAGAUGCUGGCAAAAUGUAAAGGCAGAGACACGCCCAUAAACUGCUGGUGAGAGUGUACACGUGUGCCUCCACUGUGGUAGUCAGCGUGGAGGUUCCUCAAAAGGCUAAAAUUAGAGCUACCACAUUACCCCAGUUACACCACACUUGGGUGUGUGUGUGCAGGUGAUUGCGAGAUGGAAGAGGAAGAGAGGAAGAGGCCUCGAGGAUGCAAGCAGUGAGGGAGAGAAGGAAAAAAAAAUAAAGUAAUAGAGUCCACGGGGAAAGAAAGCAGACGGAGGAAGGCUCAAGGUUUGAGAACACACAGUGGCCUGCAUGGACAAUGUUGAAUUUUGUUUCGAUGUGAUGAAAAAUCCCAGUUGCUGCUCCUCUCCAGGGUGAUGUCAGCGACUUGCUUCCCUAAGACCCAGAUAGGCUCAUCCUGACAGACGCACGUUUAUUCUGAUUAAAACCAGGAAAGAAGCAAGACUUGUGGGCUUAUAAAGCAAGAGGCAGAGAAUGGACUAAUGCAAAGUGAGAUCCUGGAGCAGUGGAGAAUCUUCCUAGAAGAUUCAAGGAAGGCAUCUACUUGACUCUUUGGAAGAAAAAUACAUCUGGUAGCAUCAUGACUUUAGACUUCAGACCAACAGAAUCAUGUAAGACCAGACAUAAGUGCUAGAACCACCCAGCGUGUCUUAUCUGGAACGUGUCUUAUCUUCUAGA